GUCCAGACCAGGCUGUGUGGCACACCUGCUGAGAUCAGGCCAGGCUUUCAACUGACGUGCUCAGAACAAGGACUUUAGACUUUCCCAGCUGUUCCUUCUUCCUUAUCCCAGGCCACAGACGCAGGGAAAGCAGCUCUAAAGCAUAUUUGCCUUCAUGAUACAGGUCAAGAGCCAGGAUGAGAACAAAGACACUCCUUGGUGCUGAUAACGACUUUUUGUGGUUGAAACUGGAUCCUUGAUGUGCAGUUGUUUUAUGUGGCUCCAUCUCCUCCUGUUAUCAGCUGGGAGCAAGUGCUGGAGUUUCUCUCCUGGUGGAUGGAGGCUGACUCCAGAUGGGGCUCACUCCCACUUGUACAGAGGGCUACAAAAGCUUCUCCAGCAGUCUGACGCGGCCAAAGGCAUCUGCUGACUCAGGCCCAGCAUCUCUGGCAAUUUGGGGGAGUUCUGUGUCUCCAGCCAAGUAUCGAGAAGAGACAGAGGGUCAUUCACUGGUGAAAGAGGCACUGGAUGUCCUCUUUAACAUUCAGAUGGAAGUAUGUUCACUCAGAGGGUGAGAGUACAACCAAGAUGUGGUGACUUUAUGUGAAUUGCACAAGUAGUGGUAAGUGUUUGAAAACCAAAUUUUAAGGUAUUUUUGCAAUGGGAGUCUCCAUGAAGUAUAGGCUGAAUGGGACAAUUCU
rnacentral:lncRNA from 1 species